GAUGAACGCUGGCGGCGUGCCUAAUACAUGCAAGUCGAGCGAACAGAUGAGGAGCUUGCUCCUCUGACGUUAGCGGCGGACGGGUGGGUAACACGUGGAUAACCUACCUAUAAGACUGGGAUAACUUCGGGAAACCGGAGCUAAUACCGGAUAAUAUAUUGAACCGCAUGGUUCAAUAGUGAAAGACGGUUUUGCUGUCACUUAUAGAUGGAUCCGCGCCGCAUUAGCUAGUUGGUAAGGUAACGGCUUACCAAGGCAACGAUGCGUAGCCGACCUGAGAGGGUGAUCGCCCCCACUGGAACUGAGACACGGUCCAGACUCCUACGGGAGGCAGCAGUAGGGAUUCUUCCGCAAUGGGCGAAAGCCUGACGGAACAAAGCCGCGUGAGUGAUGAAGGUCUUCUGAUCGUAAAACUCUGUUAUUAGGGAAGAACAAAUGUGUAAGUAACUAUGCACGUCUUGACGGUACCUAAUCAGAAAGCCACGGCUAACUACGUG
rnacentral:rRNA from 1 species